GACGAACGCUGGCGGCGUGCUUAACACAUGCAAGUCGAACGGAAAGGCCCUGCUUUUGUGGGGUGCUCGAGUGGCGAACGGGUGAGUAACACGUGAGUAACCUGCCCUUGACUUUGGUAUAACUUCAGGAAACUGGGGCUAAUACCGGAUAGGAGCUCCUGCUGCAUGGUGGGGGUUGGAAAGUUUCGGCGGUUGGGGAUGGACUCGCGGCUUAUCAGCUUGUUGGUGGGGUAGUGGCUUACCAAGGCUUUGACGGGUAGCCGGCCUGAGAGGGUGACCGGCCACAUGGGGACUGAGAUACGGCCCAGACUCGUACGGGAGGCAGCAGUGGGGAAUAUUGCACAAUGGGCGGAAGCCUGAGGCAGCAACGCCGCGUGCGGGAUGACGGCCUUAGGGUUGUAAACCGCUUUCGCCUGUGACGAAGCGUGAGUGACGGUAAUGGGUAAAGAAGCACCGGCUAACUACGUG
rnacentral:rRNA from 1 species